CACCGCGGUUAUACGAGAGGCCCAAGUUGACAGGCACCGGCGUAAAGAGUGGUUAAGGAAAACAUUUAACUAAAGCCGAACACCUUCAGAGCUGUCAUACGCUUCCGAAGGCAAGAAGCCCCACCACGAAAGUGGCUUUACUUUCCCCGACCCCACGAAAGCUGUGGAA
rnacentral:rRNA from 1 species